CUGCCCUCAGUCUUCUUUUUUCACAUUGGUUAUUUUUUUAUUCACUUUUUGUCCAGGACUGUACCAGGCCCACAGUUCCAAUUUACACUUCCUUCCACAACUGCCAGCUUAUUCUGUUGAGAAAAUACCUUGCAAACUUUUUACCCAAGUUGGCUUCAAA